UCCUUGGAGAGUUACACCAAACUAAAGUAGAGUGAGAAAUCAUUCAAAAUAGAACUCGAUGAAUAGGAAA
rfam:Clostridium sticklandii str. DSM 519 chromosome, complete genome.